GAUGAAGAACGUAGCGAAAUGCGAUAAGUAAUGUGAAUUGCAGAAUUCAGUGAAUCAUCGAAUCUUUGAACGCACCUUGCACUCCUUGGUAUUCCGAGGAGUACGCCUGUUCGAGUGUUAUGAAGCUCUCAAAACGCAAUUGGCUUAAAACCUGAUUGUUGUUUUGGGUUUGAACUUUGCCGUGUUAUAACGGCUGGUUUUAAAAGUAUUAGCUGGUACUAGAACGAAUUGGUUCUACUCAACGUGAUAAUUAUCUGAUCGUUGAGGACAUUCCUUUCACGAGGAAUGGCCAUAGUAAAUUCAAUGGACUGCUUCUAAUCUGGCUUUAAUUCUUUAUUGGAUUAACCACUUUUCAAAUCUGACCUCGAAUCAGGUGGGACUACCCGCUGAACUUAAGCAUAUCAAUAAGCGGAGGA
rnacentral:misc_RNA from 1 species